CGGCCGCGGUAUCCUGACCGUGCAAAGGUAGCAUAAUUAUUUGCCUCUUAAUUAGAGGCUAGUAUGAAUGGGUAGACGUGAACUAUCCUGUCUCUUCUUUAUAUAUAAAAAUUAAUCUUUAGGUGAAGAAGCCUAAAUUUAAAUAAAAGACAAGAAGACCCUAUCGAGCUUUAAUUUAUCAUUUAAUCCCUCUAUAUCUUAAACUAGAUAAUAAUUUUUGUUGGGGCGACAUAGGAACAAAUAAAACUUCCUUUGAUUAUUAGAUUUCAUAUCUUUCCAAAGAUCCAGUUUCUGAUCCCAGACAAUAGCUACCGUAGGGAUAACAGACUAAUUCUCCUCAAGAGUCCAUAUCUAAAGGAGACAUUGGCACCUCGAUGUUGGCUUAGGAUUUUCUUUUAAUUGCAGCAGAUUAUAUAGAAGGUUUGUUCAACCUUUAAACUCCUACGUGAUCUGAGUCAGACCGG
rnacentral:rRNA from 1 species